rnacentral:rRNA from 1 species
GGCGCACGGUGGAUGCCUUGGCACUAGAAGCCGAUGAAGGACGUUACUAACGACGAUAUGCUUUGGGGAGCUGUAAGUAAGCUUUGAUCCAGAGAUUUCCGAAUGGGGAAACCCAGCAUGAGUUAUGUCAUGUUAUCGAUAUGUGAAUACAUAGCAUAUCAGAAGGCACACCCGGAGAACUGAAACAUCUUAGUACCCGGA